rnacentral:rRNA from 1 species
UUUUAUAAUUAAAUGUAAUAAAGGGAUUCCUAGGUAUUAAAAGAAGAGUUGUGAAUUGCAUCAAUAAAGUCUAAAGCGAUAGCUUACAAAACUUUGUUACUCAAUUAAGAGAAAUCUUUAGAUUUAGUCUAUUUUAGAAAUAAGGUGAAGUAAAACAUUCUAGUAACCUUAAUAAAAAAUCAACCGAGAGUUUGUUAGUAGUGGUGAGCGAAACCAAACAUGUUUUUUAGUAUUAUAAUAAAUUGCCAAUUCCAUAGAAGGUUAUAGUCCUGUGUAAUUUAUAAAUAUUAAAUUAAUUAUCUAACGAAUUAUGAUAAAUUUGUUAUAUAUUAAGAGGAAUUUCCCUCAAACUAAAAUCUUUUAAUAACCGAUAGCAAAUCAGUACCGUGAGGGAAAGGUGAAAAAGAACUUUAUAAGGGUUAAAAGAACAUGAAAUUUAUUACAUAUUAUCUGUUGGAGCUCUAAUUAAAUUAAGAGUGACAGCGUACCUUUUGCAUAAUGGGCCAAUAAGUUUAUUAUUAUAGCAAAUUUUUAACAAAGAUGAAAAAAAAAUAAGUACAAAUAUUAGUGCGUAAAUUUAAUAGUUAUAAUAAUAAGAUCCGAAGCUGAGUGAUCUAACCAUGAGCAGGCUGAAAAGUUACCAGUAAUGGUGCUUCGAGGGCCGAACUCAUAUCUGUAGAAAAAGAUUGGGAUGACUUGUGGUUAGGAGUGAAAGGCUAAUCAAACUCAGUUAUAGCCGAUUUUCUGCGAAAUAUAUUUAAGUAUAGCCUGCAAAUUAUAAAAUUGGGGGUAAAGCUCUUUUGUAGUAAGGGGGGCGCGAGCCUUACUAAGCUAUAAAAAACUAUGAAUACCAAUUUUUAUUUUUGUGGAGUCAGAUAGUAAGCGCUAAGGUUUACUAUCAAGAGGGAAACAGCCCAGAUUAAAAAAUAAGGUCUUUAAGUAUGAUUUAAGUGAUAAGAGUGCAAAAGAGUGUACACAAUUAUAAAGUGGGCUUGGAAGCUGCCAUCUUUUGAAGAAUGCGUAACAGCUCAUUAAUCUAAUUUUUUUGCCUCGAAGAUUUAUAGAGACUAAAAUCAUCACCGAAUUUUUAAAAAGUUAUAAAAUAACUUUGGUAGCAGAACGAUCAAUAUAUGUCAUAAAAUAUUUUGAAAAAAAUAUAAUUAUAUUUGAUGCGAGCAUAUUGGCAUUAGUAGCUAAAACAAUGUUUAAUCAUUGUCGCCGAAAAUCCAUAAGGUAAUCAAGAAAAUGCUAGACAUACUUGUAUAAAACACGAUCCCUAAGAAAAAUUACAAAAGUAUAAUUUGAUGGGAAAUGAAUUAAAAUAUGAAAAAGUUACGAGUUUGCUUUAGUAAUUUGAUGUUUAUUAAAGCAAUUAGUACUACUUUCUGGAAAGAGUAUUUUAAUAGAUGAUCGUACCGUAAACCGACACAGGUGGAUAGAUAGAAAAUAUUAAGGCGAUCAAGAAAACUAUAUUGAAGGAACUCGGCAAAAUAACUCUGUAACUUCGGGAGAAGGAGUGACAGUAUUAAUUUCAAAAGUUAAUAUUGUUGUCACUAAAGAGGAAGAAACGACUGUUUAACAAAAACACAUGUCUCUGCAAAUUCGAAAGAAGAAGUAUAGAGACUGACACCUGCCCGGUGCUGUAAGGUAAUGUAGCGAUGUAUAUGCAUCAAUAUUAAGCCCCAGCAAACGGCGGCUGUAACUCUGACGGUCCUAAGGUAGCGAAAUUCCUUGUCGGGUAA